rnacentral:rRNA from 1 species
AUACAGAGGGUGCGAGCGUUAAUCGGAAUUACUGGGCGUAAAGCGCGCGUAGGCGGCUUAUUAAGUCAGAUGUGAAAUCCCCGGGCUCAACCUGGGAACUGCAUCUGAUACUGGUAAGCUAGAGUUUUGGAGAGGGAAGUAGAAUUUCAGGUGUAGCGGUGAAAUGCAUAGAGAUCUGAAGGAAUACCAGUGGCGAAGGCGACUUCCUGGCCAAAAACUGACGCUGAGGCGCGAAAGCGUGGGUAGCAAACGGGAUUAGAAACCCUAGUAGUCC